UACGAAGGGAGCUAGCGUUGUUCGGAAUCACUGGGCGUAAAGCGCACGUAGGCGGAUUUGCAAGUCGGGGGUGAAAUCCCGGGGCUCAACCUCGGAACUGCCUUCGAUACUGUAAGUCUCGAGUCCGGAAGAGGUGGGUGGAAUUCCUAGUGUAGAGGUGAAAUUCGUAGAUAUUAGGAAGAACACCAGUGGCGAAGGCGGCCCACUGGUCCGGUACUGACGCUGAGGUGCGAAAGCGUGGGGAGCAAACAGG
rnacentral:rRNA from 1 species